AUGACCCACAAAGCUGAUGCCCCCUUCUUGAAUACACCAAUUGAACACUAUCAUGCCAUGGCUUCCAUUUAUGGGACAAUGGGGGCCAAGGGGCAGAAUGCUAGGUCUGGCAAUGAUCUUCUUUCUAUUGAUCUCGAAGACAAGGAGAAUGGUGAGGUGAACACGUCACCAAAUGUUGGUGAGUCUUCUGACCCCAAAGCACCACCCAAAAAGAAGGCUAAGAUAAAGCACGUUGUUGAGGAUCCACUAGUUAUCACUCUCAAAGAUGGGUUCAAACUUGUGGCUGAAGCGCUUGUGAAGUUUAGUGGAGAUGAUGAUGACAUACCCGAUGACCUUUGGGAUGUAUUAUCCACAUUGCCAGAUUUUGAAGAAGAGCACCUAGCCCACUACUAUGCUCAUCUUGUGGACAACCCCAAGACUGCAAGAGCCUUCAUGAAACUUACCCAAAUCAACAAGUCCGUUUGGGUGAGUAGGUAUGUCAAGAAGAACUUCUAA
rnacentral:rRNA from 1 species